UAUCAUUUGGGCCGACCUCA
rnacentral:rRNA from 1 species